UGGGGAAUAUCGCACAAUGGGCGCAAGCCUGAUGCAGCCAUGCCGCGUGUGUGAAGAAGGCCUUCGGGUUGUAAAGCACUUUCAGCGAGGAGGAAGGUGGUGAACUUAAUACGUUCAUCAAUUGACGUUACUCGCAGAAGAAGCACCGGCUAACUCCGUGCCAGCAGCCGCGGUAAUACGGAGGGUGCAAGCGUUAAUCGGAAUUACUGGGCGUAAAGCGCACGCAGGCGGUUUGUUAAGUCAGAUGUGAAAUCCCCGGGCUCAACCUGGGAACUGCAUUUGAAACUGGCAAGCUAGAGUCUCGUAGAGGGGGGUAGAAUUCCAGGUGUAGCGGUGAAAUGCGUAGAGAUCUGGAGGAAUACCGGUGGCGAAGGCGGCCCCCUGGACGAAGACUGACGCUCAGGUGCGAAAGCGUGGGGCAGCAAACAGGAUUAGAUACCCUGGUAGUCCACGCUGUAAACGAUGUCGAUUUGGAGGUUGUGCCCUUGAGGCGUGGCUUCCGGAGCUAACGCGUUAAAUCGACCGCCUGGGGAGUACGGCCGCAAGGUUAAAACUUAAAUGAAUUG
rnacentral:rRNA from 1 species